rnacentral:tRNA from 1 species
GGCGGUAUCGUCUAGGGGUUAGGACGUCAGGUUCUCAACCUGAAAACCGGGGUUCGAUUCCCCGUACCGCUACCA